CACUCAUAUAAAACCAUAUUUUUGCAGAAAACUAAAGCUAAUAUACUUUCCAACUCCCCCCACCUUUAAAAUUUAUAUUAUGGAUAUGUUUUUUUAUGCUCUCAUUGCUGAAACCCAUCAUACUCUAAAGCUCAUCUCAAAGCAGAUUGUCUACAUCGACUGCAUAAAAUGUAGGAAGUAUGCUUGCUCAAAGAUGAUGAUCAUGUGGCGCAUGCUCACUGCUGGCUUUUUCUGAAUCACUAUGGUUUACCCCAAGAGCAAGAGAUGGGUACUCAUGGGGACGAUGAACAUGGAGAUUGCUUCUUUUGUUUUUAUCUCUAGACAUUGUUUCUCACCGACGCUUUAAGAUUCUCUAAUAUAUGGCCUUUAGCUUCGAUUAGACUGCAACACAUUACUCUGAAGAUGAACCCACCUCUAUCUUAGAGCCCAAGUUCAACGUUAAGAUCAUUACUGGAGUUGCUACUCAGAAUUUAAGCAAAGUGUCCCAUGUAUAAAAUGUAUGGCUCAAAUCCCUGGGGCAACCAGUUACAUUGGUUCUAUUUAAAAGGAAAAAUAUGAAGAAGGAUGCCCCAAGAGCUUAUAUGUCAAUUUCCGCUACUACGCAGAAGUGUCAAAACACCUACAAGAACUUACCGUGUCUGCGUUAUGGGUGGAAAAAGUUAAGUUCAAGCGGAUAAAAUCUUCCUUGAUCAGUAAAAGGAUGUUUGUUUCUUCGAGCAAUAGUUUGGACCCGAACAGAGCCGAUCCGUCUCUCAAGUUUGCUAUGGAGAAUUUGAAAUGGACUGAGGAGAAUUUUUUUUUGCAUGAGUGGAUACUCAAUAUAUAUCAGUUAGCCAAGUUCCUUGUCAAAUUACAGUUUCCACAUUAAAAAGGCGAUUGUAAAUGGUGACCACUUGCUUGUGUAUAGAUUCUUACACAUACAUCUCUCCUUUGACAUGAUUUGAACCCCUUUAACCACCAAAGGUCUUAAAAUGGACGCUCGCGCGCAUGAACAUAUUAACAGUUCUAGCUGUCUCUCGCUGGGACUACCUGGACAAUAUUCACCGACUCACCCAGACCCCAAUAUUCCUCACUCAAACAAAACAACACAUCCUUUUUACUUUAAUCAUUAAGUUCAUAUUAUAAUUUUUCUCUUUGCUUCUUUUAUAAGCUGUCUGAAAAGUACGUCAAAAGUAGGCCUGGAAUUCUGACCCAAACCGACCCGUCCGAACCGAACCGAGCAUUAUGACAUUCGGUUCAAGUUCGGUUAUCAGGAGAAAACCGAUCGGAAGCUGUUAAAAAAUAUUCUGUUAGUGCCUCGGUUCGGUUCGGUUCACUAUAUCCGAUCGGUUAAUCGAAAUUUAACCUACCUAUAUAUAUCUCUUAAACCUAAACAACCCUAAUCAGUUUCUCUUCGUCUUCCUCAAACUGGAGCCGUUUCUUCGUCGGAUUCUCAACCCUAUCAAUCUCGUCUUCUUUGUCUGUUUCUUACAUCCUUCAGAGCACGAGGUUCUGAAAAUGAUGUCCUACUUGAAUAUUGCAUUGAAUCAGGACAAACAGUGCUGUUAAAAAUAAAAGAUCGAUUUUAUUUUUCAUGUGUAGAGAAUCUGUAAAUUCCAAAUUCCAUGAGAAUUUCAUCAUUAGAAUUAGAGGUUGGAGUUGAAGCGUCCCUGUGAUCUUUAAUUUUCUUUUCUAUUGUUUUAUUUGGUUACUCUUUGUGCUUUGUUGGACAUUAUGAGUUCUGACAUAGAUUCAUAAUUUUAGAAUGUUAUCUUUUCGAUGAUUUAGAAAGGAAGAACAAUAUAUAUGUUUGUUUUGCUGACAAA